UACAGAGGGUGCAAGCGUUAAUCGGAAUUACUGGGCGUAAAGCGCACGUAGUCGGCUUUGCAAGUCGGGUGUGAAAUCCCCGGGCUCAACCUGGGAACUGCAUCCGAGACUGCAUUGCUAGAGUAUGGGAGAGGGAAGCGGAAUUUCUGGUGUAGCAGUGAAAUGCGUAGAUAUCAGAAGGAACAUCAGUGGCGAAGGCGGCUUCCUGGACCAAUACUGACGAUCAGGUGCGAAAGCGUGGGGAGCAAACAGG
rnacentral:rRNA from 1 species